rnacentral:rRNA from 1 species
AUGAAACACGGAGCAAUCUGUGGCUUAUAGAUGGGCCUGCGGCGCAUUAGCUAGUUGGUAGGGUAACGGCCUACCAAGGCGACGAUGCGUAGCCGACCUGAGAGGGUGAACGGCCACACUGGGACUGAGACACGGCCCAGACUCCUACGGGAGGCAGCAGUAGGGAAUCUUCCGCAAUGGACGCAAGUCUGACGGAGCAACGCCGCGUGAGUGAUGAAGGUUUUCGGAUCGUAAAGCUCUGUUGCCCUAGACGAACAGCAAGGCGAGUAACUGCGCUUUGUGUGACGGUAUAGGAGAAGAAAGCCCCGGCUAACUACGUGCCAGCAGCCGCGGUAAUACGUAGGGGGCAAGCGUUGUCCGGAAUUAUUGGGCGUAAAGCGCGCGCAGGCGGUUAAUUAAGUUGGGUGUUUAAGCCCGGGGCUCAACCCCGGUUCGCAUCCAAAACUGGUUGACUUGAGUGUAGGAGAGGAAAGUGGAAUUCCACGUGUAGCGGUGAAAUGCGUAGAGAUGUGGAGGAACACCAGUGGCGAAGGCGACUUUCUGGCCUAUAACUGACGCUGAGGCGCGAAAGCGUGGGGAGCAAACAGGA